rnacentral:miRNA from 1 species
UGGAGUCUCUUUGGGUAUAAAAACCACACUUAAGAAAUAGUAUGCUCCGGGCUGGAGCGAUGGCUCAGCCGUUAAAGGCUAGGCUCACAACCAAAAAUAUA